rnacentral:pre_miRNA from 1 species
UUAAGUCAAAUUAGUAUGGAGUUGGAAAGUUUGUCUAUGUUUGUCGCUAGGGGCACUGUACCUGCUGCAUAUAAACUUCAGGUA